AUUGCCUUAGUAACGGCGAGUGAAGCGGCAAUAGCUCAAAUUUGAAAUCUGGCGCUUGCGUCCGAGUUGUAAUUUGUAGAGGAUGAUUUUGGUUAGGUACCUUUCGAGUUCCUUGGAACAGGACGCCUUAGAGGGUGAGAGCCCCGUACGAUUGGAUGCCGAGCCUCUGUAAAUCUCCUUCGACGAGUCGAGUAGUUUGGGAAUGCUGCUCUAAAUGGGAGGUAAAUUUCUUCUAAAGCUAAAUACCGGCCAGAGACCGAUAGCGCACAAGUAGAGUGAUCGAAAGAUGAAAAGCACUUUGAAAAGAGGGUUAAAUAGCACGUGAAAUUGUUGAAAGGGAAGGAUUUAUGACCAGACUUUUUCUAGGAGGAUCAUCCGGUGUUCUCACCGGUGCACUUCUUCUAGUUUAGGCCAGCAUCGACUUCUGGCGGCGGAUAAAAGCUUUAGGAAUGUGGCUCCCUACGGGGAGUGUUAUAGCCUAUUGUAUAAUACGCUGCUGGGGGUCGAGGUACGCGCUUCUGCAAGGAUGCUGGCGUAAUGGUUAUCAAUCACCCGUCUUGAAACACGGACCAAGGAGUCGAACAUUUAUGCGAGUGUUUGGGUGUUAAACCCUCACGCGUAAUGAAAGUGAACGGAGGUGAGAGCCCUUACGGGUGCAUCAUCGACCGAUCCUGAAGUUUUCGGAUGGAUUUGAGUAAGAGCAUAACUGUUCGGACCCGAAAGAUGGUGAACUAUGCGUGGAUAGGGUGAAGCCAGAGGAAACUCUGGUGGAGGCUCGCAGCGGUUCUGACGUGCAAAUCGAUCGUCAAAUCUGCGCAUGGGGGCGAAAGACUAAUCGAACCAUCUAGUAGCUGGUUACCGCCGAAGUUUCCCUCAGGAUAGCAGUGUUGUCUUCAGUUUUAUGAGGUAAAGCGAAUGAUUAGGGACUCGGGGGCGCUAUAUAGCCUUCAUCCAUUCUCAAACUUUAAAUAUGUAAGAAGCUCUUGUUACUUAAUUGAACGUGAGCAUUCGAAUGUACCAACACUAGUGGGCCAUUUUUGGUAAGCAGAACUGGCGAUGCGGGAUGAACCGAACGCGGGGUUAAGGUGCCGGAGUGGACGCUCAUCAGACACCACAAAAGGUGUUAGUACAUCUUGACAGCAGGACGGUGGCCAUGGAAGUCGGAAUCCGCUAAGGACUGUGUAACAACUCACCUGCCGAAUGUACUAGCCCUGAAAAUGGAUGGCGCUCAAGCGUCCCACCCAUACCUCGCCCUUAGGGUAGAAACGAUGCCCUAAGGAGUAGGCGGCCGGGAGGUCAGGACGAAG
rnacentral:rRNA from 1 species